rnacentral:lncRNA from 1 species
UCUCAGUCACACCAUGUGUGCUUCUACUGUUCCGGAGCCACAUGGAGCUGAUGGCUGAUGAAUUGAACAGCACAGCUCCAGAACAUUUCCGUCCUCACAGAAAGUUCUAGAGCUUGAUCUGGACAGUGGCUAUAUAGGUGUGUGCAUUGGUCAAAACUCAUUGAGCUGAGUACUCAUACCUCUAUUAAAAACAUACCUUUUGAAAGCACAGACUCAGAUCUUCACCCAUCACUUGCUUCAUACCUUUGAUUUAAGCUCUUUCUGGCCCCCGCUCGCUACCUGUGUAACAGGGUGAAGACAGUACCUCUUUUUCCUUGUGUUAGGGAACUUGGCCAGAAUUGCACAGUGAGCCCUUGAGAAGUUUCCACCCUGGGGAUGGCAUGGAGCUGCAACACAGGCAGCUUUGGCUGCCCUCGGGGACUCGGCCUCGGCUCAUGGAUAGUUCCCUGUUUUAGAGGCAGGGGUCUGAGACCCAGCCUCCAAGCAUCAAAUCAGAGGGCUGCUUCCUAUGGAGCCCGAGCUCAGUGACCCCCUGCCUAGCCUGGGAGCCAGGACAGGAUGGAGGAUGUAGAGGUGGUAUGGCUUCUGGCAGCAGGGACACCAUGAAGUGUUCCCAUGUUCUGCUUCGUUUCACAAAGACUUUCUAAGAUACAGUGUCAUCCGUCCUCCUGGGAGCCUGUCCUUUUUGUACCCAGGAAGAAAUAGGCCCAGAGGAGGGAUAUGGCCAGUUAGUGGCACACAGUGGAGCUGCAUGUCCAAGGCUUCCUACUCCAAGUAUUUGUCAUCCUCUGGGUCACCCUGGAUGGUCACCAUCUGUCUAUGUGGACACAGCCUUAUCCACAGACUCACUAUCUUGGCUGGUCAUGGGUGGGAACAAGAAUGGGGAUGCUUCCAUGACAAAGCUCAACUCAAACAAACAUCUUACCCCCUCGAUGCCUCCGUUUCCUUCCUGUAAAAUGGGUCUGGUACUGUUGAUUCUAUCUAUCCCUCACAGGGACAGAAUGAGGAUCAAGCAAGCGGAUGUAAAAUGCCCACAUCAUGACUGGCACGUAGUAAAUGUUGGGGGCUGUGGUUCUACCAAGCCCUGGAGGAUAAGCAGGAGGGAGCAGACCCAGGCUCUUCCUUCUCAGGGGCGCAUCAAGGAAUACAAGCCCAAGGCCCAAGAUACUGCAUUCCCAGCAGAUGCCUUCCACGACUUCCUGAUUGCAAACCAGAUGUGA